UACGGAGGGAGCUAGCGUUAUUCGGAAUUACUGGGCGUAAAGCGUACGUAGGCGGCUUUGUAAGUAAGAGGUGAAAGCCCGGAGCUCAACUCCGGAACUGCCUUUUAGACUGCAUCGCUUGAAUCCAGGAGAGGUGAGUGGAAUGGCUGGUGUAGCGGUGAAAUGCGUAGAUAUCAGUCGGAACACCGGUGGCGAAGGCGGCUUCUUGGGCCGUUCCUGACGCUGAUGCGCGAAAGCUGGGGGAGCGAACGGG
rnacentral:rRNA from 1 species